rnacentral:rRNA from 1 species
ACACGUGGGUAACCUGCCUUAUAGUGGGGGAUAGCCUUUCGAAAGGAAGAUUAAUACCGCAUAAGAUUGUAGUAUCGCAUGAUAUAGCAAUUAAAGGAGCAAUUCGCUAUAAGAUGGACCCGCGUCGCAUUAGCUAGUUGGUGAGGUAAUGGCUCACCAAGGCGACGAUGCGUAGCCGACCUGAGAGGGUGAUCGGCCACAUUGGGACUGAGACACGGCCCAGACUCCGUACGGGAGGCAGCAUG